rnacentral:rRNA from 1 species
UACGAAGGGGGCUAGCGUUGUUCGGAAUUACUGGGCGUAAAGCGUUUGUAGGCGGUUGAACAAGUCAGUGGUGAAAGCCCAGGGCUUAACCCUGGAAUUGCCAUUGAAACUGUUCAGCUAGAGAGUGUUAGAGGAAAGUGGAAUUCCUAGUGUAGGAGUGAAAUCCGUAGAGAUUAGGAAGAACACCAGUGGCGAAGGCGGCUCACUGGUCCGGUACUGACGCUGAGGUGCGAAAGCGUGGGGAGCAAACGGG